AGAGCGACAAGGAAGAAUUCACA
rnacentral:siRNA from 1 species